rnacentral:hammerhead_ribozyme from 1 species
AUCCAGCUGACGAGCUACAAGUAAGACGAAACGCGCGUCCUGGAU